rnacentral:rRNA from 1 species
AACGAACGCUGGCGGCGCGCCUAAUACAUGCAAGUCGAGCGAGGAGACGUAGCAAUACGUUUGUAAAGCGGCGAACGGGUGAGGAAUACAUGGGUAACCUACCCUCGAGUGGGGAAUAACUAGCCGAAAGGUUAGCUAAUACCGCGUACGCUCCUUGGACUUCGGUUCAGGGAGGAAAGCGAUACCGUGGGUAUCGCGCUCUUGGAUGGGCUCAUGUCCUAUCAGCUUGUUGGUGAGGUAACGGCUCACCAAGGCUUCGACGGGUAGCUGGUCUGAGAGGACGAUCAGCCACACUGGCACUGCGACACGGGCCAGACUCCUACGGGAGGCAGCAGUAAGGAAUAUUGCGCAAUGGGCGAAAGCCUGACGCAGCGACGCCGCGUGGGGGAUGAAGGUCUUCGGAUUGUAAACCCCUUUCGGGAGGGAAGAUGGAACGAGCAAUCGUUCGGACGGUACCUCCAGAAGCAGCCACGGCUAACUUCGUGCCAGCAGCCGCAGUAAAAC